AGGUGCUCUUUGUGGUACCCACAGGAGAAGUUUGGGCGUACUCGUGAUGUGUCAUUUCAACAUCCAAUAAAACUUUAUUUUGGUGCAAAAUUUGGCAGCUGCCAGGAGGUCCAGAAAUUUCAAUAUACAGAAACAGUCAUUUGGUUAUUGAGACGUCACAAGAGAUCAAUGAUGUACCAUAUGGAGAUUAUUUUCGUGUUGAGGGGCUAUGGGACAUAGUUAAAGAUGGUGAUGAAUCAAAAGAAGGCUGUAUUUUGCGGAUAUAUGUGGA
rnacentral:misc_RNA from 1 species